rnacentral:lncRNA from 1 species
CAGGAUUCCAUGGUUCAGCACAUAUCCAGCCCAGAGGGCAAAGCCAGCCUCCUCUUUUGACAAGUACUUGUCAUGAAGAGGGAGAAACAACAUGGAGGAGGGGAAAAAUUUUGACACUCAUCUCCUGUGCCUGCAAUUCAUAACUCAAUCUUGUUCAAUUGCUCUCUCUUUUGAAUAGAGUCUGGCAAUAGGGUGAAAUAACCAAGAACUCUACUACACCCCCUCAGAAGAACCAGAGGUAUCAGCUACCAUAUUUGUCUGUAUAUCCAAUAUUCCAGCCUCAACACCUUUCCUUGAAAAUCUAGAGGUCAUCAAUAAAAUGAAAAGCCAUUUCAUUCUAUUGGUGAAAACAGAAGCUUUUCUGCAGCAUAUCAAGAGUCUGGCAAAGCUCUCAACUAGAUUAUACUAUAAAGAAUAUGAAUAGCCAACAAUUACGGAGUACUUAUUAGAAGUCAAGACUCUUCUGAGUAGUUUGCUUGGAUUAUCUCAUGCAAUCUCAAUAUUGGAUUUAGCCAAGGAAUAUCAUCUUGCUUGGUCAUCAGCAUGUAACUGAUGCAUCGAUACUUCUCAGCCAUAUUUAGAGCAGAAAUUUGAUACCUAAAGAAGCGAAGUAACUGAGAAGUCUCAGAUAACAAAUGAUAAAGCCAGAAUUUAAACUCGUGUGUUCCUGACAUCAAAACUCCUACUCUUCACUGCAAUGUUCGACUGCCUAUCAAGGAACUCUUUACCUCCACAAGUCAAUAUCCAUCACCUCAUAUAGAUUGCUGCCACAGCAUGGCUGACAAGUAGCGUAGGUCCCUGCCUGGGAUCCAAGCCUGACAACCCCGGCCACUGAAACAGAGUGCAUGGAACUUUAAACACUCGGCCACAGGGCCGGCCCCCAUGUUAUUUUUAUUAAUCUUCCAAAUGUCUUUUUAUUGCUAAUAAAGUGUCUCAAGAG